AGACCCCCGGCGUGGGAUUUGUACCCACUUGGGCACUCGGUGUUUGUUCUCCAGCUCGCUGAGCACCAGUCUGCUCCCAGCCUGGUGAGAUGCCCCAGUUCUCUGCGACCCUGGGUCUCUCCCCGCGGCAGGGGAGCCCAGGGCAGGCAGAGCAGGGCUCCCGGGGAGUUGGCAGGCGGAGAACAGCCGGCUGCCAGUGCUGCACCAGGCUGGAAGAGACACCUGAACGGAAGAUCACGCCAUGAAAAGCCAGCGUCCACAAAGGAGACAGAGGAGUCCUGCGACUUUAUUCCAAUAAAGGGAGAGAGCCCACUGGGGCACAUGCCAGCGGGCUUUUCUCUCUCGAGGUGUUGGAGCAAAGGAGACAGAGGAGUCCUGUGACUUUAUUCCAAUAAAGGGAGAGAGCCCACUGGGGCACAUGCCAGCGGGCUUUUCUCUCUCGAGGUGUUGGAGCAAAGGAGACAGAGGAGUCCUGCGACUUUAUUCCAAUAAAGGGAGAGAGUCCCCUGGGGCACAUGCCAGCGGGCUUUUCUCUCUCGAGGUGUUGGAGGAUGCAGCCUCCUUUUAUCCUAAACUCCCGGCCGCAUGCUGCUCUCUUCCUUUCCCCCUUGGCUGAGGUACUAGGAAGGUACAGCCUUCCCGAAUCGCCUACCACAUAUCCCCCCCUGAAGCUGUCAUUUUAGCCCAAAGUUCAGAAACUCGGGUUUGUGCAGACCCAUUUGUCUGUUUCAAGCGGUCUGGGCUCUGUAGCAAACCUGCUGCUUGAAGUUAAUAAAGACCUUAAGA